AGGCCAGGGGAUGGAUGUAGGCAGACUUGGGAGCUGGAAAGGACAAGGAAGCAGAUUCCCCCCUGGAGCCUCCAGAAGGGACCUAGUCCUGGGGACCUAUUUGAGACUUCUAACCUCCCACACAUUCAGGUAAUAAAUCUAUGUUUGUUCUAAGCCGCUAAGUGCAUGGUGUUUUGCUACAGCAAUUACGCAGCAAUUGGAAACUAAUGCAGAAUGUAUUUUUUCUUUAUUUUUAAAACGACGCUCGUAAACAACUCCAAAUAGCUUUUGUUGUUAUGAGUUAGAGCUGCUGCUGUUUGCCAUAUUAGAAAUUCAGACUAAGAAUGUAUUAAGUAAUUAAUGUAUUUAAAAUAGCAACACUGGGGCGCCUGGGUGGCUCAGUCGGUUAAGCAGCCAACUUCGGCUCAGGUCAUGAUCUCGCAGUCCGUGAGUUUGAGCCCCGCAUCAGGCUCUGUGCUGACAGCUCAGAGCCUGGAGCCUGUUUCAGAUUCUGUGUCUCCCUUUCUCUGACCCUCCCCCAUUCAUGCUUUGUCUCUCUCUGUCUCAAAAAUAAACGUUAAAAAAAUUUUUUUUAAAUAAAAAAAUUUAAAAAUUAAAUAAAAUAGCAACACUAAGCUCACUGCAUGUUAACCAAAAAAAAAACGCAUACUUUAUAAGAAAUAGCUGUAUUUUCAAAAACAAAAAAUGAAGAGUGCUGUUAGUCUAUAUUUUUACUCAUUUUUUUUAACGGUUAGCUUAAUAGAAGACAGUUAGAUUCUAAUAACUGCUUCUACAUUCCAUCUGUCAUGAUGUCACAUGUACGGAAGCCUCUGGAAAACUAAUGAGUGAAAAGGGCAAAUAUGUUCGUAUUAUCAUGAGAACCAUUUUGACCUCACAAACCCCCUGACAGAUUCCCCAGGGUCUCCAGACCACAACAGGAGGAUCCCCGAUGCAGAGAACUGUGUGUCCCCACAGCAAUUCAAUAUGCUGCCCAUCAUGUCUGUUCUCCAGAAGGGUGGAGAUUUUCCAGCGUUUGGGUCAGCUAAUGAAGGAGACAUCUUUGCUUGAUCCCUUGCAGGCAUGAUACCCAACUGCCUGGUGACAGCAACCUUAGUCCCCAAUACCAAGUGGGUACUUACUAAAUAUUUAUGGGAUGUGUCAGUAAAUGAAUCACUCCCUCCC
rnacentral:lncRNA from 1 species